AGAAAGUUGAGGAAAUGGAAGAAUGAGAGAGGGAAUGAGGGAGCUACCAACCGGCAAUGGCUCACCGGCGGUGACUGGUUGGUGGUUCUGUCGGCAACAAGAGGGAUUGAUGGGUUUUUUUUGGGAAAUAAAAAAAAUGAAAAAAGAAAAAAAGUAGAAGGAAGGAAAUGAGGGGGGCAUUUGGCAGUGUAGUGUGUGGAGGAAGAAGAGGGAGUGGAGAGGGAGAAAAAAGGAAGAAAAAAAUAUAUAAAAAUGGGGCCGACUGGAAAUGGUCAUGGAGUGUGGGUGUUGGGGAAAGGAAGAAGA
rnacentral:lncRNA from 1 species